rnacentral:rRNA from 1 species
CCUACGGGAGGCAGCAGUGGGGGAUAUUGCACAAUGGGGGAAACCCUGAUGCAGCGACGCCGCGUGGGUGAAGAAGCGCCUCGGCGCGUAAAGCCCUGUCAGCAGGGAAGAAAAUGACGGUACCUGAAGAAGAAGCCCCGGCUAACUACGUGCCAACAGCCGCGGUAAUACGUAGGGGGCAAGCGGUAUCCGGAUUUACUGGGUGUAAAGGGGGCGCAGACGGCGAUGCAAGCCAGGAGUGAAAGCCCGGGGCCCAACCCCGGGACUGCUCUUGGAACUGCGUGGCUAGAGUGCAGGAGGGGCAGGCGGAAUUCCUGGUGUAGCGGUGAAAUGCGUAGAUAUCAGGAGGAACACCGGUGGCGAAGGCGGCCUGCUGGACUGCAACUGACGUUGAGGCCCGAAAGCGUGGGGAGCAAACAGGAUUAGAUACCCCAGUAGUC